rnacentral:rRNA from 1 species
AUUGAACGCUGGCGGCAUGCCUAACACAUGCAAGUCGAACGGUAACAGGCCGCUGGGAUCCCUUCGGGGUGACCUUGGCGCUGACGAGUGGCGGACGGGUGAGUAAUGCGUAGGAAUUUACCUCAAAGUGGGGGAUAGCCCGGAGAAAUCCGGAUUAAUACCGCAUGUGCUCUACGGAGGAAAGCGGGCCUCUACUUGUAAGCUCGCGCUUUGAGAUAAGCCUACGUCGGAUUAGCUAGUUGGUGGGGUAAGAGCCUACCAAGGCGGCGAUCCGUAGCUGGUUUGAGAGGAUGAUCAGCCACACCGGAACUGAGACACGGUCCGGACUCCUACGGGAGGCAGCAGUGGGGAAUAUUGGACAAUGGGCGCAAGCCUGAUGCAGCGACGCCGCGUGGGGGAUGAAUGCCUUCGGGUUGUAAACCCCUUUCAGGAGGGACGAAGCGAAAGUGACGGUACCUCCAGAAGAAGCCCCGGCCAACUACGUG